rnacentral:lncRNA from 1 species
AGAAUGCUCAGAACUUCCAAUGCUAUGUUGAAUAGGAGUGAUGAGAGAGAGCAUCCUUGUCUUGUGCUGGUUUUCAAGAAGAAUGCAUCUAGAUUUUGCCCAUUCAGUAUGAUACUGGCUGUGGGUUUGUCAUAUAUGACUAAUAUUUUGAGCAGAAUCCCAUCAACAGCCUCUUCUUGCCAAUAGAAAAGAACAGCCUUACAGGAGCGAAGAAAGGACCUUAACUACAUGACCUUCCUGCAGAGAUGUGUGAUGGCUUUAUGAUGUUUGGCAGCAGGUCCAUCUCUGUGGCAUUCUGCAUUAGUGUUUUUCUUCUGUAGUUAUUGAAAUGCUAAUUCAGUUGCAGUUGAUAAAAAAUGUUUAUAGUAACGUCACAUUACUAUUUUUCGCCAAAUUCUUUGCUACGAUUUUCUCCAAAUGUGAAUAUGAGGUUGAUAUUUGGGUAUUACAAUUCAAAGCAAAUUCAAUUCUUAAACCUUUUAUUGGACAAAUCCAGUUCCAACUUUCAAUUUAAUUGAGGUAAAAGGUAAAGUAAUAGUGGGAACUUGUAAGAGAUUCUUUCUUUGUUUGCCUGUGUCAAUAUAUUUUCUGUUUGUGAUAACAAAAAGGAAAAAAUAACCAUAAUCAUACAAUAUAAUUAUCACUUUUACAUUUUUUCCCUGUUUGCUUAAACAUAUAUUAUACAUAUGUAUUCCAUGCCUUUUGUAUUAUUCUGGCUCCCAUGAAUGAUAUAUUAUAAGCAUUUUCAUUUUGCUAUAUAGCAUUUUAAUCAUACAUAAAAUUAAUUUCAUUAAUUAAAUUAUGCCAUACAAGAUUAAAUUAUCACAGAAUCAAAAAAAUCAAAAGUUGAACAGAAGCUUCAAAUAUAAUCACUCAAAUAUCAUCAUUGUUAACAUUUCUAUUUACAGUUUUCAGAUUUUAUUUUUCAGAAUAUAUAUGUGAAUAUGAACACAUUUGUAGGAAUUUCUGUUGGUGCUGCACAAAUAUACCCUAGACCCUCAUUAGCACAUGCCCAUGAUAUCUUCUUGAAAGCAUCAAUGAUGCUGUUCUUCAAAACAUUCUUUCAGUUGAAGUGUUGCUGAGUCAAUGCUCCAGGAAAUAGUUUUUGGCCCAGUGAUGAGAAUUAAAAGAUAAAAAGCUCAGCUUCCUUGAAACUCAGAUGGAAUGACUUUAAGACAUUGUGGUGGUUUAUUCCUAUUCGAUGUGGGACACUUCUAAAGAGAAACUGCAGCAUUCUCCAUUAGCCUGACAAAGAUUAUGGAGUUUCUUCUUAACCAAUCAUCUUUUCCUCUCCUCUUUUCACAGAGGUUAGACCUGUACCAUGAUCUGAAGAGUCUUCCUUCUAAACUCUUUCUCCUCUUUACUCUUCACAUGUGUUUCCCGAAUAAAUCUCUUGUAUAUCUAAUCCUGUUUUGCCUGCUUUUCAAAAAAUCCAAACUAACACAAGUAGUGCCAGGAGUAGCAGGAGAAAACAAAGGUAAAAUGAAAUUUUGGGACUGGUCAACAAAUGACCUAAUGGUCAAAUUGUUGCAAUUGGCAUAGCAAGGUUAACAUUAAAAUAAAAGCUAUAGCUGCUACCAGGAUACUUUGGACUCCAGGUGUAGAAAGGAGUCACCAUCUUGGCUAGAGUAAUUGAUGGUUAUAAGCAGGAGGUGGAAGGACUGCAUUUACAUAGUUGGUGCCGGUAGACAAAUAUAUGGAACAUGGGUUACCCAUGUGGACCUCUUGAGUACCCUCAUCCCCAUUGUAACUGAAUGGACAUUUACAACAAUUAUAGCCUGAGAAGCCCAUGAUUUCCAAGGGCUUAGGCCCUAAGGAAUGAAGGUUCGGAUCACAACACAUGAUUAGGCACCAAGAUCUGUCAAAGUAAUAGCUGAAGGUUAGGGGAUUUUUUAGAAAGGACAAAGGAGAAGAGAAAGGAUGAGUAUAAUGUAUGACCCCAAAACCAACUAUAGCAGUGGAUGGUGUAGCUGGUGUUACCAGUCUCUCUAUUUUAAGUUUCCCUUAAAUAAGGGAGGGUAAUAGGAAACAUGGUGAUGCCACUCCUUAAACUUGCAUUGAGAAUCAGAUUUGUGCAAUGCAGUGGGUGAAAUGUAGAAUCUGUGAAACUAUGCCCAGAUCUUGCUCUGCAAGGAGCAUAAUUGACAGACAGUGCUAGCUGCCAGCUUUCUGGAUCCACCACUACAUUUGUGCAGCAGGCAUACUUCCUCAGAGCUACUCUAAGUGGAAGACUGAGCAGGGCGAAUUACUAAUGCCAGCCCAUUCUUGCUAGGUCUGGGAUUCCUCUAAUGUGUAUUGGCCUAAAACUCUUAGAACUGUACUGAUGUUUGAGACUCUCCCUCUCAAAUCCUCCUUCUGCAGGUGGUAGACCUGGACUGCAUUCUAAAUGCUCUCUCUGACCACUCUUUCUUUCUUCCAUUUAUCCUUAAUAGACAUUUCCUCUAAUAAAUGUAUUGCAUGUUUAUUCUGCUUCACAGAGUACUCAAACUAACAAAAGCAUAUUCCAAACCUUCUCCCAGAGGAUUCCAUGGGAAACUAAGUCCAGUUGCCCACAACAAUUAUUAGCCUGCACACCAGCACACCCUGUUUUGAACUCUUUGCAUUCCCUUUCUUAUAUCCCUAUUCCUCUACUAGUCCCUCCUAAGAUUAAAUUAGUGUGGUGGUUUUAAAAUAAAUCUACAAAGUUUUUAAUACUCCUUUCAAGAGGUGGAGCCUAAUUUCCCUCCUCUUGAGUAUGAACUGGAAUUACUCACAGAGCUCUAAUAAAGAGAAUGUGGCAGAAAUUAUGUAUGUGCUGCUAAUAGCUAGCAACAAACUAAGACCUCCAGCCAACAGCCAUGUAAGUGAGCCCUUUCAGAAUCAGAACAUCUGUCCCAGUUAAACAUUCAGAUGGUGGCUGACAACUUGAAUGCAGCUUUAGAAGAGACUUUGAAGAACUAUCAAGCCAUUUCCGUACUCCCAACCCUCAAAAACUAUGUGAGAUAAGUAUUUGUUGUUUUAAGUUAUAAGCUACCAGGAAACUUGUUAUGCAAAAAUAGACAAGUAAUACACUAUUAAAUCCAUCACACAUACUCAAAUCCUUCUCACAGGAUCAACUGUGGAGAAAUAUUUGUUUUGUUUUCUUGUGCUUCAUUUUAUUGUGCUUUGAAGAUAUUGUGGUUUGUAUAAAUUGAAGAUUUGUGGUGACCCUGUGUCGAGUAAGUCUGUUGGUGCCAUUUCUUCCAAGAGUAUGUGCUCACUUUGUGUUUCUGAUCAUUAGUAUUUUUUUUAGCAAUAAAGCAUUUUAUAAUUAAACUAUUAACAUUCUUUUUUUAGACAUAAUGCUAUUGCACACUUAACAGUUUAUAAUAUAGCAUAAAUAUAACUUUUAUAGGCACUGGAAAACCAAAAUAUUCAUGUGACCCUUUAUUGUGAUUUUCACUUUAUUGCAGUGGUCCUGAACUGUACCUGCGAUAUCUCUGAGGUAUGUCUGUGGGAUUCUGUGAAGUUAUAUUUGUGUUAUACAUUUGUAUUACUUGUCCAUUUUGCUCAACAAGUCUGCCAAUAACUUAGUAGCUUAAAACAACACACAUUUAUCUCACAUAGUUUUUGAGGGUUGGGAGUGUAUGUGUUUACAUAAAUAUACACACACGUAAAACUGUACUUAAGUAUGUAUAUAUGCACACGCAUACUUUAUAAUAUAUGUACACAUGCAUAUACACACAUACAUACUUUAAUACAUGAGUCAUUUAGUCACAAGAGUUUUUACUUUAAACUUAUUUUGAUUAAUUUUUAAAAAAAUUUAUGUAUGUUGCAUCAUUAUUAAUCACUUACUAG